AUUCAGUUAUCGUGGUGGCCGGCGCCGAGCUGAAAUCGUUAUCGCUGCUUCAUUGUGGAAAUGCACUUUGUCGCCUCGGUCGGUUGUAAUUCUCGGUUGCGAUACGAUAAGGCGAAAGUUUGGCACAAAACGAUGCACGAGAAUCGAUGAUCGAAGGUCCAAUUCGAUAAGGAAUUCGAGAAAAAAAAUGGCGGACACGAAUGUCCAACGAUUGUUAGUAGUUUCGAUUUCUAGUCGAAGUUCGAUUAAAAGAUUUGUUCUAGAUCGUCAUCCAGUGAUUAUUAUCGUCAAAGAUGCUUAAUGUACCGUAAUGUAAAGAUGCUUUAAGAGUGACGUAGCUGCAAUCGGUGAGAUUAGAAACGAGUUAAUGUACAAAUAAGUUUUCGAGAGAAAGAAGGUUAAGAGAUACGAGAUGGUCUUAAACUAAUUUAAUCAGAGAGAUGAAGAUACGAAUGUUUGAAGAAUAAUGGAAGAAAAAUUUGGAAUGUUCGAAAGUCGAUUUGAAUACAGUUUUUAUUGUACAUUAUGCAAAAAUUGUAUAAAUAUCAUUACAAUAUUAAAUGAAUUAUUCAUUGGGGACAUUAUCUAAUAUCUUCUGAAGAACAUAAUGAUAUCUGUGAGAAAAAUGAUGGAAAGUGCGAGAUCUCUAAAAUCUUAUCGACAGAGAUUAUUUAACGAGCUUAAGCAAUUCAUACGAUUGCUACACGCCAUUUUCGAUUAUAUGAAUUCGAGAACUUGAAUCUUUUUUCAUCCAUUUAUUUGAAUCUACAUUUUUAAAUCAUUGUUUUCUAUUCUCGAUACAUUCAUCCAGACACGGAAAAUCGUGUCAAUAAUGAUGGUAAUAUUUUUUACAUAUCAAUUUAUAUAAUAUCUUAAUUUUUAGAUUUCAAAUCAAACGUCGACGCGUUAACAUCUAUUUCACACUUUAUAACUUGGAAUUCUCGUGUUUAUGAAUUUUCAUAAUGCAAAAAACUAUGGAGACGUUCAAAAUUUCUUUUUUUUUUACGAGAACACAGUUUUGCAUCGAGGAAAAUAUUUCAAAAUGUCAGGGAAGGAAGAAACCUCAGAGCAUGUAUUCGUUAACACGGUAUAGGUUAUAAAAUUUCGUUACUCGUAAAUGAUGGAAAGGACACGAAAUUCGCCGUGUUAAAACCUGAAGAUUUAUCGAUUAUUGGCAAUAAUGCGGAAAAAUUGUGAUAAAAUGUAAUUUUGAAACUUUCGUUGCAAAAUCGUUAUGCAAAUUAUAUAUUUUUUUUAAAAUAUCAAAAUUAUAUUUUUGACAAAUUGGAUGCUUGCAAUAUAUGGACAAUUAAUUUACUAUUAAUUUUAAUAUUAAUGAAAAUUUCAAGUUCAAUUUAACUUUGUCAAGAUGUCAAGAUUAAAUUACACUAUUAUAUAUUUAUUAUAAAAAUUACCUUAAUUACAUAUUGAUAUUUUAGAAAUAACACUUUUAAGAAAGAUUUAUACGAGAUAUUUAUACGAGAUAUUUAUACGAGAUAUUUAUACGAGAUUUAUACGAGAUAUUAUAGAUAAAUGAUAAAUCAAUUGCCAUUCCAAGUUUCACGAAUUCUUUCAUAUAGUUUAUCCAAUCAUAGUCCAGACAUAGUUUUCGCGCAGUGUACUCAACAAAUUGCCUAUUCCGUAUAUGCUUUGCAAGAAGCAUAUAUUUUGUUAGCGAUAUUGUUUGUAUUAAAAUUAUUCGCCCACGAAAAACUGUUUUUCUUUUAAUAUCUACGUAUUAAAUGUAAACAGUAGAUAAGAAAUGUACUUCGGAUAUGAAGUGUGUAUCAAGAAAUACCAUAUAACAUAUACCAAUAUAUUAUUCAAUUACCAAACCGCUUUCAAUUUCAACGCUAAAAAUUCUCUCGUGUCUCAUGACGGAUGAAAAAUAGAUAGAAAAAUGCGAGGAAGACUAGAGGUAAAUAUUUCUUGAAAUGGCACACUGACUUUUUCGCAGAAGAAAAAAUUUAUUAUUACAUGUAGUCGUGAAAGUCAAAAGUGAACCGGUUUAAAUUAGUUAUCUUUAUAAAAUUCUUGUUCGAAUAUUAAUAAAAGAAUUAAAAAAUUAACGAUUUUUCAUAUUUUUUUUUUACAAAUGUUCUACUUAUGAAUAGUAUGGUAUGAUGUAUGUGUGCAUAUGAUGCAACAAUUUUCGCGGUAACGAUGAAAGUGUUUUUCUGAUAGUUGUGUUACGAUACGUGUUUCGCCAUGCGGAAAAGAGAAAAACUUGAUAAGUCAGCUAUAAAGAAUUGGAGUUAUUU